AGGGGAUUAGCUCAAGGGUAGAGCGCUACUUUUACACAGUAGAUGCAGAGGUUCGAGUCCUCUAUUCCUUA